GACGUAGGGGGCUAGCGUUGUUCGGAAUUACUGGGCGUAAAGAGCGCGCAGGCGGUCGUUCAAGUCGCGUGUGAAAGCCCCCGGCUCAACUGGGGAGGGUCACGCGAUACUGAUCGACUCGAAGGCAGGAGAGGGAAGUGGAAUUCCCGGUGUAGUGGUGAAAUGCGUAGAUAUCGGGAGGAACACCAGUGGCGAAGGCGACUUCCUGGCCUGUUCUUGACGCUGAGGCGCGAAAGCUAGGGGAGCAAACGGG
rnacentral:rRNA from 1 species